AGUGAACGCUGGCGGUAGGCCUAACACAUGCAAGUCGAACGGCAGCACAGUAAGAGCUUGCUCUUACGGGUGGCGAGUGGCGGACGGGUGAGGAAUACAUCGGAAUCUACUUUUUCGUGGGGGAUAACGUAGGGAAACUUACGCUAAUACCGCAUACGACCUACGGGUGAAAGCAGGGGAUCUUCGGACCUUGCGCGAUUGAAUGAGCCGAUGUCGGAUUAGCUAGUUGGCGGGGUAAAGGCCCACCAAGGCGACGAUCCGUAGCUGGUCUGAGAGGAUGAUCAGCCACGCUGGAACUGAGACGCGUUCCAGACUCCUACGGGAGGCAGCAGUGGGGAAUAUUGGACAAUGGGCGCAAGCCUGAUCCAGCCAUACCGCGUGGGUGAAGAAGGCCUUCGGGUUGUAAAGCCCUUUUGUUGUGAAAGAAAAGCAGCAGGUUAAUACCCCGCUGUUCUGACGGUACCCAAAGAAUAAGCACCGGCUAACUUCGUG
rnacentral:rRNA from 1 species